CUGAAACUCAAUGCCAAACAGGGCCUAUAUAAUAAGUGGAAGCAGCAUGAUGGGUAACAGUAAUUUGUUUCUAAAGGCUGUCAAUUCAAGUCAUAAUUAUAUGUAAGUUGGCUCAAUUACAGCCUGGUAUAACUAUCAUCAAGUCCAAACAAGAUGGAUUGAGUCAAAUCAAACCCACUCAAGCACUUGUUCACAGAGCAUCAUCAACUGAUCAACAAUGUUUUUUUGUCUGUAAAACUAUGGGGGAAAGUGUUGCCAACAAACAAGUUAGAUUGUAAACCCAGAUACUUAUGUUGUCUUCCUGUAUCACCAACCAUACGGAGCUAAUAAUGAAUCCAAUACAUAGGCUUGAUAAACUAGCAAUAAUUGCUAAAUCAGAUCAUAAUCCUGGCAGAACCAUAAUAUUUGACCACAAUACAUGGUCCUCUAAUUGAGAUAUAGCAGACUGAUCCAACAGUCCAUAUCAGAGACCUUAAAUUUUUUACACUGAAGUGUCGCAUUGACAUGUACUUGUUUAUUAUACACAUCAUAUUUUCUCUAUAUCGGGCCAUACUGGCUGCUAAUCAUAAGAAAAUUCAAGUGACUAGAAUUCAGGUAAGGGGCCAUUAUAUCUUCUAUGUCAACAAGCAAGAAGAUUAGAUAGUAGUGAAUCUAAGGAUCCCAGAAAAUGAUAGAUGCAUCCCAUUUCUAGCAUGUGGGCUAAAAUGCAACCAAUAAUGGAACCGAUAAUUUCAUCGCCAUCCUAAUACCCUACACAAGCAUGUUUGCAUAUCACAUCCUUCAUCCAAUUUAGGAACUAGUUUGCUAGUUCUAUACACAUGGCAUGCUUUUUGAGAAAUAAUCAAUUAGCUUGUCACAGAGUUAUAACAGAAUCUUACCUGAAUCUAACUCUUCUCAGCUCCCUUUUGCCACCUGGCAAGGCUCUGAUAGUUAUGUAAACUCCUGGUUCAUCCUGUUCCACCCAUUCAGUUUCCAUGUCACUAGCAUUGCUGAUUGACAGCUCUCCUGAGCGAUCUGCCUCCCUUGAUGAGCUGCUUCUUAUAGAAGCAUCCAUUGACGAUGUUUCUGUCUUGGCCCCACUGAUACUAGAGAGUUUUGGGGUUGAGGUGAGACCACCUGAAUCACAGUAAUGACGGGCUUGCAUUGGAUGAUGAUCCAGUGAAUCUGAGGAUGAGUAGCCCAUUCCCAUCCCUGUUGGUCGAUAGAAAUUACGAGGCAAGCGUUCUCUGGUCAGUGGUGGUGUUACAGGGCUAUCUUCUGCAGACUCCAUCUUUGUGCUCUCAUCUUCUGAUCUUGGGGUUGUUGGAAGUGGAAAAGCUUGGCGAUUAAACCUCUGGACAUUGUAAAGCUCCAUGACCCUGUCAUAGUUCUCUGCCCACCAUCUUUGAGCUUGCCACUUGUUAAACAUGUCUCGACUGAAACGUAUCCGCUUGAGAUCAUUUCCUCCGCGUGGAAGAUAAACGAAAGUGAUCAGAACACCGGGUUCCACCUGGGCCACCCACUCUUUGGGUUCGUUCUCUUCGACGAAGACGACGGGCGGGUCUACCCGGCGCCCACUGCCAUUCACUGAGUUUGGCGUCCCCUCGCCACUCGAGCUCGAUAUCCCUUUCAGCCUCGCCUCCAUCUCCUUCCCCCAUGUCCUAGGCGUCGUAGAACUCGAGCUUCCGGUCCGCCGUAACGACCAACGGAAACGAUCCGACUCUGCGUCAGACUCGUUCCAGUUCCUGAAUCGGGUCUGAGUUGUUGGUGCCGUGCAUGGAUUGCAGUGCCGGUAUGCUCCAGAGGCCUUCAGCGCCAUGUCCCUAAGCUGAGUAGUGAGGGACUUGAUCGCUUGGUGGUGUUUGGCGUUGGGAGUGUUUGUGGGGGCGGACUCAUCGGGUUGACUGAGCGAGUCAUCGCCUGGUUGCUUCGAUCGAGCUAUACACGUCAGCAUUUUUCAAUUCUGAGAGGAGAUAAAACGAAUCUGUAUCACUCCACAAGAAAACGCUAACAGUUUAGACACAUUGUCAACUUCGAUAAAAUCAGACCUUUGAUCGUUUUCUGACUCAGAGACUGGAAUUUCACCUCAAAUCCAAGACUUAGAAAUUAGAAGAAUGAAAUCUGAGGAAUCAGUUUGGCUUCAGGGUCGCAGCGCGAAAUACGAGAUAAUCCUAUCAAGCAAUGCCCAUGCAGUGUUUGAAUGCCCACUUCAGCUAACGCGAUCAGAGAUUCUCUGCUCAAAAUUCUCAUCGGAGUUAAUGGCGGAGAAGGAUUGCAUUGAAUAGCCUGGCAACAAAGAGCCCGAAGGAUCGAAAUGGGAUAGAAGAGAAUCUUCUUGUUUUCCUUUUCAGCUUAGCUUUGGUGUUGGCUGAUCGCUAUAAUGGAGCUUCGGUGAACUGUUGUUGAGCCUGCUUUACAUUACAUGUGUACCUGCUACCGGAUGGUCACCGGUUGUAAUAUGCGCGGAAAUAACACCCUUGAUUCUAAUAGUCGAGAAAGCUGUAGCUCACCAUGCUUUGCUUAGUGCGGUACUCACUCUACAGCAUCAUCCUCUUUGGAUGCCCAACUAAAUGCUGGGUGGUGAAGGAAGCUUU
rnacentral:misc_RNA from 1 species